rnacentral:rRNA from 1 species
GAAGGUCUUCGGAUCGUAAACUUCUGUCAUUUGAGAACAAGUGUCGAAGCAAUAACUGGCUUCGAUUUGAUAGUACCAAAAGAGGAAGAGACGGCUAACUCUGUGCCAGCAGCCGCGGUAAUACAGGGGUCUCAAGCGUUGUUCGGAUUCAUUGGGCGUAAAGGGUGCGUAGGCGGUGCCGUAAGUCGGAUGUGAAAUCCCGAAGCUCAACUUUGGAACUGCAUUCGAUACUGCGGUGCUGGAGGACUGGAGAGGAGAUCGGAAUUCAUGGUGUAGCAGUGAAAUGCGUAGAUAUCAUGAGGAAGACCAGUGGCGAAGGCGGAUCUCUGGACAGUUCCUGACGCUGAGGCACGAAGGCUAGGGUAGCGAACGGGAUUAGAUACCCCGGUAGUCCUAGCAGUAAACGGUGCACGUUUGGUGUGGGAGGAUUCGACCCCUUCCGUGCCGGAGCUAACGCGUUAAACGUGCCGCCUGGGGAGUACGAUCGCAAGAUUA